UACGGGGGGGGCAAGCGUUGUUCGGAAUUACUGGGCGUAAAGGGCUGGUAGGCGGCCAACUAAGUCGGAUGUGAAAUCCCCAGGCUUAACCUGGGAACUGCAUCCGAUACUGGAUGGCUUGAAUCCGGGAGAGGGAUGCAGAAUUCCAGGUGUAGCGGUGAAAUGCGUAGAUAUCUGGAGGAAUACCGGUGGCGAAGGCGGCAUCCUGGACCGGCAUUGACGCUGAGGAGCGAAAGCGUGGGGAGCGAACAGG
rnacentral:rRNA from 1 species